ACGAAUGCUGGCGGCGUGGAUAAGACAUGCAAGUUGAACGGUGACAGUUUUGUAGCAAUACCGAGCUGUCAUAGUGGCGAAAGGGGUGCGUAACACGUGAGUGAUCUGCCCUUAAGAUCGGAAUAACCCCGAGAAAUCGGGGCUAAUACCCAAUAAACUUCCCAUGGUACGCUGUGGGAAGUAAAGCCGGGGACCGUAAGGCCUGGCGCUUGAGGAUGAGCUCGCGGCCUAUCAGCUAGUUGGUGGGGUAACGGCCCACCAAGGCUUAGACGGGUAGCUGGUCUUAGAGGACGACCAGCCACACUGGAACUGAGACACGGUCCAGACACCUACGGGUGGCAGCAGUCGAGAAUUCUUCACACUGGGCGAAAGCCUGAUGGAGCGACGCCGCGUGGGGGAUGAAGGGCUUCGGCUUGUAAACCCCUGUCAUUUGCGAACAAAUUCGGCAUCCGAAUAGAAUGCCGGACUGAUUGUAGCGAAAGAGGAAGGGACGGCUAACUCUGUGCCAGCAGCCGCGGUAAUACAGAGGUCCCGAGCGUUGUUCGGAUUUACUGGGCGUAAAGGGUGUGUAGGCGGUCAAGAUAGUCCGACGUUAAAUCUCUGGGCUCAACCCAGAGACCGCGCUGGAUACUUCUUGGCUUGAGAAGCAUAGGGGGAACCGGAAUUCUCGGUGUAGCAGUGAAAUGCGUAGAUAUCGAGAGGAACGCCAGUGGCGAAAGCGGGUUCCCUGGAUGCCUUUCUGACGCUGAGGCACUAAAGCUGGGGGGAGCAAACGGGAUUAGAUACCCCGGUAGUCCCAGCUGUAAACGGUGCGCACUUGCUGUGAGCAAGCCAAACCUUGCUUGGUGGCGAAGUUAACACGUUAAGUGCGCCGCCUGAGGAGUACGGGCCGCAAGGCUAAAACUCAAAGAAAUUGACGGGGGCCUGCACAAGCGGUGGAGUAUGUGGCUUAAUUCGAUGCAACGCGAAGAACCUUACCUGGCCUUGACAUGUAAGUAGUAGGGAAAGCGAAAGCCUACCGAGUGUAGCAAUACCAGCUUACACAGGUGCUGCAUGGCUGGUCGUCAGCUCGUGUCGUGAGAUGUUGGGUUAAGUCCCGCAACGAGCGCAACCCUUGCAUCCAGUUGCCACCCAAAUUAGUUUUUGGAGCACUUUUGGAGAACCGCCUCGCUUCAACGAGGAGGAAGGUGGGGAUGACGUCAAGUCAGUAUGGCCCUUACGGCCAGGGCUGCACACGUACUACAAUGCCCGACACAAUGGGAAGCCAGUCAGCAAUGACGAGCAAAUCCCUAAAGCCGGGCCUAGUUCAGAUUGCCGGCUGCAACUCGCCGGCAAUGAAGCUGGAAUCGCUAGUAAUGGCGCAUCAGCUACCGGCGCCGUGAAUACGUUCCCAGGCCUUGUACACACCGCCCCGUCACAUCAUGAAAGCCGUUCAAGCCCAAAGAGGGUCAAAUCGCAAGACGUCGACCUUCGAAGGUUUUGGUCGGUGAUUGGGAUG
rnacentral:rRNA from 1 species